UCGCCGUUGCCUAGUGGAUAAGGCGUCCGCCUCGGGAGCGGUAGGUCGAAGGUUCGAGCCCGAUGGUGAG
rnacentral:tRNA from 1 species